GUGGUCUCUGUUUUCGGGUAAUUUGGGGGUACAAGGGUGUGAUCAGAAGGGGAUUUCCCAUGGCCCCAGCAUGCCGGCCUGCCUUUGCCCUUUCAACCUCUCUUUCCUGAGUGAAACUUCAUUGUUUAUUUACCCACCACCUCUUGCCAACAAGGAGCUGAGAUGAUAUACAACCCAGGCCACGUGUGACCGGAUUGAACCAACAGAAAAAAACAUUUUUUUUUAAUAUUUGUUUUUGAGAGAGAGAGAGAGACAGAGCAUGAGCAGGGGAGGCGCAGAGAGAGGGAGACACAGAACCCGAAGCGGGCUCCAAGCUCUGCGCUGUCCACACAGAAUCCGAUGUGGGGCUCGAACUCAGGAACUGUGAGAUCAUGACCUGAGCCGAAGUCUGACUGAGCCACCCGGGCGCCCCUACCAACAGAAAAAUUUUAGAGUCUUCAAAAUUCCACGAUCUGCUGGGAUUUAUUCUGACUGCAGUCGCGUAUGUGCUUGUCCCCAGCUCCACCCCCACCCGUUCCAGGGAAGGACAUUGACUCUCAUCCUGGUGAUCUCCCCAUCAUGCCCAUCCAAGCUCUCCUUGGGAUCUGUUCCUGAGAAGUCCUACAUGUACAUAAAGCUCUUCUACUGCAUAACAAAAUACUACGAUUGUCUCAUGAAAACCACCCAUGUGAUUGUUUGCGCCAAAAAGUUUGCUGAUCUUGCUCAAGUGGAUUAUCUACUGCAUUGGAAUGACUUAAGCUGCCGUCCCAAAGAGCCUGAAGAACCCUGCAAGCUGUUCUUGCAGAGAAGCCUGGCAAAGAACAUGGAAAGAACAUGGGCUUUGGGGCCACGUGAACCUCAUCUGGAGUCCUGGUUCUGCCACUCAGUAGCAACUCUGUCAUCUGAACUUGGCAAGUCACAACUUCUAUGUACCAAAGUAACUUUACAUGUAAAGUGAACAUAGUAAUUGAUCUAUUUAAAAAUAUGUAAAGAGGAAAGUAAAAGUCCUCAUCUUCACCAGUCAAAUCCCCCUCCUCAGAUGUGCAUUAUUAAUAUUUUGGUUCAAAUACUUCCAGACUUUUUCCUAGGUUUAUACUGCACAGAUAUAUAUGUAUACACAUGCAUCUAUUUACAAACCAAAUAUUACUGUACAUACUGGUCUGUAACUUGAUCUACUUCUGUUCAACAAUCAAUCACAGGGGUGCCUGGGUGGCUCAGUCGGUUAAGCAAUUGAUUCUUGAUCCCAGCUCAGGUCAUGAUCUCAUGGUUUGUGGGAUUGAGCCCUGUGUGGGGCCCUGAGCUGACAGAGCAGAGCCUGCUUGGGAUUCUCCCUCUCCCUCUCUCUACCCCUCCCCAGCUUGCACAUGCACACGUGUGGGCUCUCUCUCAAAAUAAAUAAACCUAAAAAAUCUAUUAUAUACAUCACUUUAGGUCCAUACAUAUAAAAUAUGACUCUUUAUACCAACUCCAUAGUGCUCCUUCAUAUAGCUAGGUGGCAAUUAACACAACCUACUGAUGGAAAUUGGGUCAGUUCUGAUGUUUUUCUGUUAUCAAACGUGCUGCAACUGACGGGCAUACUUAUGAAUCUAUGUUAUUGCUUCUGUAGGAGAGAGUCCUGAAAGUCGAAUUGCUGGGUCAAAAAGUACACAUGUGGAAAGUACACACAUUAGGUUCUAACAAAUCACCUACUUCCCAGAGGUGUGCCAUUUGCACUUGGACUUGCAGUCGAUAAUACCACGUGCUUACACAUAUCCUUAUAAGCACCGGGUUCCAUUAAUUUUUCAGUCUUUGUAUUUCCUUGACAACAGUAAAGUUGAACAUCUUCUUAUGUUUAUUGGCCAUCUGCCUUUCUUCUGUGAAUUCUUUGUUUAUAUUCCUUGCCUAUUUUUCUAUUUGGAUGUUUGAGCUGUUCUUCCCAGUAGGCAUUUUUUUGUACAUUAAGUGUCUGUUGGCAGAAAGAAAGGACAUUGUGUUUUGCAGCUCAGUUAAAUGUCUUGAAUAUCUUACCCAGGUCUACUAUUUGGCUUUAAACUUUAUGCUGUUUUUCAUCAUGUAGGAGUUUUAAAUGUUUCAGUAUUCAAAUGUGUAUUUUUUUUUUUCUGGUUUCUGGGUUUCCUGUCUUGCUUAAGAAGUCAUCCUACCCUGAUGUUACAUAAUUGGUCUCCUUUGUUAUCUUAUCAUCUUUUUAAGGCUUCAUUUAUUUAUAUUCAUAUUGUUAAUAUUUUAGGAAUUUCUAUUUGGAGUAGAUGAGGAAUGUAUGUUGAUGAUGUGUCUCUGAGGUUUUUCUUCUCUCAUCACUUUGAAUGCAUUCAGGGACCCAUAAUUUUUUUGAGCCAAAAAGGCCUGUGUGCUGUGUGUUCCUAUAAAUGUACUCAUUUCGAAGAACAACUCCACAACUUGUUAAUACAAAUGUUAAUAUUGGUUAUUUCUGUGUGAUGGGAUUAAAGAUGCUUUUAAUUGUUC